rnacentral:rRNA from 1 species
GACGAACGCUGGCGGCGUGCUUAACACAUGCAAGUCGUACGGUAAGGCCCUUUCGGGGGUACACGAGUGGCGAACGGGUGAGUAACACGUGAGUAACCUGCCCACAACUUUGGGAUAACGCUAGGAAACUGGUGCUAAUACUGGAUAUGUGCUCCUGCUGCAUGGUGGGGGUUGGAAAGCUCCGGCGGUUGUGGAUGGAGUCGCGGCCUAUCAGCUUGUUGGUGGGGUAGUGGCCUACCAAGGCGGCGACGGGUAGCCGGCCUGAGAGGGUGACCGGCCACAUUGGGACUGAGAUACGGACCAGACUCCUACGGGAGGCAGCAGUGGGGAAUAUUGAACAAUGGGCGCAAGCCUGAUGCAGCAACGCCGCGGGCGGGAUGACGGACUUCGGGUUGUAAACCGCUUUCAGCAGGGACGAAGCUUUUUGUGACGGUACCUGCAGAAGAAGCACCGGCUAACUACGUG